AAGCGGGUGAAAAGCCCGCUCGCCGGAAGACCAAGGGUUCCUGUCCAACGUUAAUCGGGGCAGGGUGAGUCGACCCCUAAGGCGAGGCCGAAAGGCGUAGUCGAUGGGAAACGGGUUAAUAUUCCCGUACUUGGUGUUACUGCGAAGGGGGGACGGAGAAGGCUAUGUUGGCCGGGCGACGGUUGUCCCGGUUUAAGCGUGUAGGUGUGUGUUCCAGGUAAAUCCGGUUCACUUUAACACUGAGGCGUGACGACGAGGCACUACGGUGCUGAAGCAACAAAUGCCCUGCUUCCAGGAAAAGCCUCUAAGCAUCAGGUAACAUCAAAUCGUACCCCAAACCGACACAGGUGGUCAGGUAGAGAAUACCAAGGCGCUUGAGAGAACUCGGGUGAAGGAACUAGGCAAAAUGGUGCCGUAACUUCGGGAGAAGGCACGCUGACACGUAGGUGAAGUGAUUUACUCAUGGAGCUGAAGUCAGUCGAAGAUACCAGCUGGCUGCAACUGUUUAUUAAAAACACAGCACUGUGCAAACACGAAAGUGGACGUAUACGGUGUGACGCCUGCCCGGUGCCGGAAGGUUAAUUGAUGGGGUCAGCGCAAGCGAAGCUCCUGAUCGAAGCCCCGGUAAACGGCGGCCGUAACUAUAACGGUCCUAAGGUAGCGAAAUUCCUUGUCGGGUAAGUUCCGACCUGCACGAAUGGCGUAAUGAUGGCCAGGCUGUCUCCACCCGAGACUCAGUGAAAUUGAACUCGCUGUGAAGAUGCAGUGUACCCGCGGCAAGACGGAAAGACCCCGUGAACCUUUACUAUAGCUUGACACUGAACAUUGAGCCUUGAUGUGUAGGAUAGGUGGGAGGCUUUGAAGUGUGGACGCCAGUCUGCAUGGAGCCGACCUUGAAAUACCACCCUUUAAUGUUUGAUGUUCUAACGUGGACCCGUAAUCCGGGUUGCGGACAGUGUCUGGUGGGUAGUUUGACUGGGGCGGUCUCCUCCUAAAGAGUAACGGAGGAGCACGAAGGUUGGCUAAUCCUGGUCGGACAUCAGGAGGUUAGUGCAAUGGCAUAAGCCAGCUUGACUGCGAGCGUGACGGCGCGAGCAGGUGCGAAAGCAGGUCAUAGUGAUCCGGUGGUUCUGAAUGGAAGGGCCAUCGCUCAACGGAUAAAAGGUACUCCGGGGAUAACAGGCUGAUACCGCCCAAGAGUUCAUAUCGACGGCGGUGUUUGGCACCUCGAUGUCGGCUCAUCACAUCCUGGGGCUGAAGUAGGUCCCAAGGGUAUGGCUGUUCGCCAUUUAAAGUGGUACGCGAGCUGGGUUUAGAACGUCGUGAGACAGUUCGGUCCCUAUCUGCCGUGGGCGCUGGAGAACUGAGGGGGGCUGCUCCUAGUACGAGAGGACCGGAGUGGACGCAUCACUGGUGUUCGGGUUGUCAUGCCAAUGGCACUGCCCGGUAGCUAAAUGCGGAAGAGAUAAGUGCUGAAAGCAUCUAAGCACGAAACUUGCCCCGAGAUGAGUUCUCCCUGAGACUUAGAGUCUCCUGAAGGAACGUUGAAGACGACGACGUUGAUAGGCCGGGUGUGUAAGCGCAGCGAUGCGUUGAGCUAACCGGUACUAAUGAACCGUGAGGCUUAACCUUACAACGCCGAAG
rnacentral:rRNA from 1 species